rnacentral:rRNA from 1 species
UACGAAGGGGGCUAGCGUUGUUCGGAAUCACUGGGCGUAAAGGGUGCGUAGGCGGGUCUUUAAGUCAGGGGUGAAAUCCUGGAGCUCAACUCCAGAACUGCCUUUGAUACUGAAGAUCUUGAGUUCGGGAGAGGUGAGUGGAACUGCGAGUGUAGAGGCGAAAUUCGUAGAUAUUCGCAAGAACACCAGUGGCGAAGGCGGCUCACUGGCCCGAUACUGACGCUGAGGCACGAAAGCGUGGGGAGCAAACAGG